GCGGGAAUAGCUCAGUUGGUAGAGCACAAGCUUCCCAAGCUUGGGGUCGCGAGUUCGAAUCUCGUUUCCCGCUCCA
rnacentral:tRNA from 4 species